rnacentral:rRNA from 1 species
UACGAGGGGGGCAAGCGUUGUUCGGAAUUAUUGGGCGUAAAGGGCGCGUAGGCGGCGCGGUAUGUCUCUUGUGAAAUCUCCAGGCUCAACUUGGAGUCUGCAAGGGAAACUGCCGUGCUUGAGUACUGGAGAGGUGAGUGGAAUUCCCGGUGUAGCGGUGAAAUGCGUAGAGAUCCGGAGGAACACCAACGGCGAAGGCAGCGCCCUGGACGAGACCUGACGCUCAGGCACGAAAGCUGGGGGAGCAAACAGG